rnacentral:tRNA from 1 species
UCCCUGGUGGCUCAGAUGGUAAAGAAUCUGCUUGCAAUGCAGAAGACCUGAGUUCGAUCCUUGGGUUGGGAU